AGUUGGAGCUCAGGAUUCGCGUGUUUAAAUUACGCAAUCGAAAGACCUUCGACCCGAAAACAUUCGCAGACAAUGAGCGCUAGGAAAGUAUAAAUCUUACCUCUAAAUUCCUCUCGUGUAUGCGCGUCCUUCAAUGCUGAACAAAGGGACGAAAAUGUUAAUCCUGACUGAGUGUAAUCCUUUCCGGAGGAUGUAAACGGAUAAGUCCCUCCUCUGUGUGUAGACGUGAGGAAAUCUCGUAACGAAUUCUUCGUAACUUCAGAGCCAAUGGAGAUAUCAGUAAAUAGUGGUUUUGAGCGGAAUGACGACCUGCGAUCGUAAAGAAUGAUCACUUGAGUUGAUAAAAUUGAUGGGAGUCACCGGUUUAUUCUUUACGUGUAUUAAAUCGUAACGUAGCCUGUUACACGGGUUACAAUCAUUUGGUGAAAGGCCGGACAACGCCCCGCGGCCUUCCCGCUUUGCAGAAAUCCUGUGUUAAUAAUCUCAUCGAGAUCACUCCCAGAUAACCGUCAGUUAUCGUAAUUAGAUGAUUUAUUAUUUGAAAUGGUAAGAAAAAAUCUCCAACGACAAAUGAGAGAAACGAAUGGAAAAUUAAUGAUGACAGGUAGAAAACAAUGGAGAGGAAAAUGUGAAGCAGGGAUUACCACUGAUUGUCAUACGCUGGAGGCACUCGGAGAAAAUGAAGACAAUGUCGAGAAAUUGCGAGUCUCGUAGGACGUUUUGAGUCCCAGGAAUAAUGGGGAUUUGAGGUGGGGGACCGAAAACGUUGGGCAAAAUGGAUGAGAGAUUUCCUUGAAGGUUUGAGAGGACGCGCGAAAGAAAAAGGCGGGGAUGUUGCUGAUGAAGAAAGGCUACAAGAGUAUAUAAAGAGUGGUCAGACGCCUUGGAGCAUCAUACUCGACUUCAAAUCAUGAAGGUCUUCGGCGUAGCUUUUCUAUUUGCCUUCGUCGCCACUUGCUAUGGGGGUUACAUUAGCAGCGGUUGGUCUGGCGGUGGCGGUGGGGGUGGCGGUGGCUGG